rnacentral:rRNA from 1 species
UACGUAGGGGGCAAGCGUUGUCCGGAUUUAUUGGGCGUAAAGAGCGUGUAGGCGGUUUGGUAGGUCCGCUGUGAAAACUCGAGGCUCAACCUCGAGACGCCGGUGGAAACCAUCAGACUAGAGUCCGGAAGAGGAGAGUAGAAUUCCUGGUGUAGCGGUGAAAUGCGCAGAUAUCAGGAAGAACACCCGUGGCUAAGGCGGCUCUCUAGUACGGUACUGACGCCGAGACGCGAAAGCGUGGGGAGCGAACAGG